rnacentral:rRNA from 1 species
UACGAAGGGGGCUAGCGUUGCUCGGAAUCACUGGGCGUAAAGGGUGCGUAGGCGGGUCUUAAGUCAGGGGUGAAAUCCUGGAGCUCAACUCCAGAACUGCCUUUGAUACUGAGGAUCUUGAGUCCGGGAGAGGUGAGUGGAACUGCGAGUGUAGAGGUGAAAUUCGUAGAUAUUCGCAAGAACACCAGUGGCGAAGGCGGCUCACUGGCCCGGUACUGACGCUGAGGCACGAAGGCCAGGGGAGCAAACGGG